rnacentral:rRNA from 1 species
CACCAGGCGCGAAAUCUUUACAAUGCUUGCAACCGUGAUUAGGGAACCUCUAGUGCCAGGAUUAUUACUGUGGCUGCUGAGAUGGCUAAAAACUGUUGUGAAACCUAGGGCACGGGCAAUACCGGUGCCAGACCUCCCCGGUAACACCAUCCGGCUCGAGUGGCAACCGUUAUUAUUGUGUCUAAAAGGCCUGUACUGCGGACACAUCAUUCUCUUGGGAGAUCUGGCAGGUUAUACUGUCAUGCUUUUCCGACAUAUUGUCUGGCUCUAGGCCCUGAGAGGUGAGAGGCACUUCAUGUGUACGGGUGAAAUCUUGUAUUCCUCGAAGGACCACCCGUGGGAAAGACGUCUCACCCUAACGAACCUGACGUCCAGGGACUAAAGAUCGGGGCUCGAACCGGAUUAGAUACCCGGGUAGUCCUAACCGUAAACGAUACUCCCUAGGUGUCGGCCACAUUGCAACCGCGUGCAGAGCCAUAAGAAAACCGUGAAACUAGCCACCUGGGAAUUACGGUCUCACGGCUUAUACUUUUAUGACUUGUGGUGGGAGCAC